AGGGAGACUAGCACAGGCCGGCAGAGAAGUGACCCAGCCCCGGAUUGCCUGGUAACCUUCCGUUCCCAGGAGGCUGCUGUGAGGCUCCUCUGGCUUCAUGGAGUAUAAUGGACCCACAGCCAUCUCCUUCCCCAACACCAACUCUGCCUGCAUUUUAGGCCAGGAAGUGAGAGUUCAGAGAGCAGAGACAACUGUCCAGAGCUAGACCUUGAAGACUCCUCAACGCUGAAGGUCACCGAGAGGAGGGACAGCCAAGGAAACUGAGUCGCAGCAGCCGUGGAGGCAGGCGGGCACUAGGAUCAAGUCAUCAAAGGUCCCAGGAGGCUGCCAGGCUGGCUGGACAGCCGAGGAGACAAGAGCUG